rnacentral:rRNA from 1 species
AACACGUGUGACACUGCCUUAAUCUGGGGGAUAGCUUUUCCAGAGAUUAUACCCCAUAAUAUGUUGGAUGGCAUCAUUCGACAUUGAAAACUCCGGUGGAUAGAGAUGGGCACGCGCAAGAUUAGAUAGUUGGUGGGGUAACGGCUCACCAAGUCUACGAUCUUUAGGGGCCUGAGAGGGUGAUCCCCCACACUGGUACUGAACACGGACCAACUCCUACGGAAGCAAUGAGAAUAUUGGACCAAUGGGUGAGAGCCUGAUCCAGCCAUCCCGCGUGAAGGACGACUGCCCUAUGGGUUGUAAACUUCUUUUGUAUAGGGAUAAACCUACCCUCGUGAGGGUAGCUGAAGGUACUAUACGAAUAAGCACCGGCUAACUCCGUGCCAGCAGCCGCGGUAAUACGGAGGGUGCAAGCGUUAUCCGGAUUUAUUGGGUUUAAAGGGUCCGUAGGCGGAUCUGUAAGUCAGUGGUGAAAUCUCACAGCUUAACUGUGGAAACUGCCAUUGAUACUGGCAGGGUCUUGAGUGUUGGUUCGAAGUAACUGGAAUAAAGUAGUGUAAGCGGUGAAAUGCAUAGAUANUUACUUUAGAAACACCCAAU